rnacentral:rRNA from 1 species
ACAACUAACAAGGAUUCCCUUAUAACUGAGAGUGAACAGGGAUGAGCCCAGCACCGAAGCCUGUGGCCAUUUGGUCACUAGGCAAUGUGUGUUCAGGUCGUUCCGCGGGGGUACUGCUCCACCCUAAGUCCAGCAAUGAGUACGGUUUUACGGACAUGGCCCACUGAGGGUGAAAGGCCCGUGGGGGUGGAGAUUCGGCAGGCCAGUACCUCUCUGGUUAGACCUUGGAGUCGGGUUGUUUGUGAAUGCAGCCCAAAGUGGGUGGUAAACUCCAUCCAAGGCUAAAUACGUGCACGAGUCCGAUAGCGAACAAGUACCGUGAGGGAAAGUUGAAAAGUACUUUGAAGAGAGAGUAAACAGUGCGUGAAACCGCUCAGAGGUAAACGGGUGGAGUUGAACUGCAAACGCUGAGAAUUCAGCUGGUGAGUGUGGCUUGAGCUUGGUUAAAUUGGUUGAACCCUGAAGUCUGCUUAGUGGCAGGCCUUUGCCCUUGGGUGGAGGUGCGCGAUGCACUUAUCAAGUGUUGUGCGCUUUUGGUGUUCCUCGGACCGACUUGCCAGUGCAUUUUCUCAGUGUAGUCACCACGACCGGCACCGCUGUCGGGCUGUUAUGGUUAAACCGGUUUUGCAUUGUCCUUGCGGUUCUGCUUUAUCGGGAUGGCAGGUAGCCUGUUGACUUGUUUGUGGUUUGCCGCAAGCGCUUGGUCUUCAGGUGUAAUCAGCUGACUGUGACGGCUCUGUGCAGUGUGUCGGAGACAGCGGCCAGUGGUGUGUGCGUGCGUGCCUAUUUGGUUGGCGGAUCCGGGUUUGGUUAUUACGUUGCCUGUUCAAGCAGGCCUGAUGAUGGCUCGGGUUCGUUCGGCUGGUGGUUACGCGUGUGUCACUAUUCCAAGGGCCAAAAGUCUGUGGUGCAGUGGUAGACUAUCCACCUGACCCGUCUUGAAACACGGACCAAGGAGAGUAACAUGUGCGCGAGUCAUUGGGCAUUACGAAACCCAGAGGCGCAGUGAAAGUAAAGGUCCGGCUUGUCUGGACUGAGGUGAGAUCCUGUCGUUUCUCACGCGUGGUACCACCAAGCAUCGAGCGGCAGGCGCAUCACCGGCCCGUCCCAUGACAAUUGUUAUUUGACAGUAUCCAGUCGGGGCGGAGCAUGAGCGUACAUGUUGAGACCCGAAAGAUGGUGAGCUAUGCUUGCGCAGGUUGAGCCAGAGGAAACUCUGGUGGAGGACCGCAGCGGUUCUGACGUGCAAAUCGAUCGCCAGACGUGAGUAUAGGGGCGAAAGACUAA